UACAGAGGGUGCAGGCGUUAAUCGGAAUUACUGGGCGUAAAGCGCGCGUAGGUGGUUUGUUAAGUUGGAUGUGAAAGCCCCGGGCUCAACCUGGGAACUGCAUCCAAAACUGGCAAGCUAGAGUACGGUAGAGGGUGGUGGAAUUUCCUGUGUAGCGGUGAAAUGCGUAGAUAUAGGAAGGAACACCAGUGGCGAAGGCGACCACCUGGACUGAUACUGACACUGAGGUGCGAAAGCGUGGGGAGCAAACAGG
rnacentral:rRNA from 1 species